ensembl:lncRNA
CAUGCUGCAUUUCAGAGACCCAAACUGGCCACCCGUAGGCCAGGUGCAGACAUGGUUUAUUUGUUUUGCACUAAGCCAGUGUGCAAAAAUGGAGAGAUUUUAUUCUAAAAAUUCAGAUUUCAUUACUUUUCUUUUGAAGGUCUGGAAGGUUUGGCCACAUGGGGCGUGCGUUUCCUUCUGGCACACUGCCUGCCCAUACAGCUUGCCCAUGGAUGCCCGCCAGCGGUCUCCACAGAGGACUGGGUUUGUGGUCCUGGCUGGUCUGCCUCUUCGUUCCGUGGCAAAAUGCACCAGUGCGAUACGGGCCAAAUUCACAGCAUUUUAAGAGGCCUCAUCCUCCACCUCUCCCCUGGAAAAUGAAGCAAAGACAGAAUGAGAGCAGGAGGCUGAAGGAACAUGAAAACAUCAGAGAGCAAAUGUAUAUGGCCUGCUAGAUGCUACUAGGAGAGAGGUUUUCCCUCUCUGCUUAUCUUGGUGGAAUCUGUUUUCAUAAUAAA